UACAGAGGUCCCAAGCGUUGUUCGGAUUCACUGGGUUUAAAGGGUGCGUAGGUGGGUUGAUAAGUCAGUGGUGAAAUCCCCGAGCUUAACUUGGGAACUGCCAUUGAUACUAUUGAUCUUGAAUACCGUGGAGGUCAGCGGAAUAUGUCAUGUAGCGGUGAAAUGCUUAGAUAUGACAUAGAACACCAAUUGCGAAGGCAGCUGGCUACGCGAAUAUUGACACUGAUGCACGAAAGCGUGGGGAUCAAACAGG
rnacentral:rRNA from 1 species